CAGCAGCCGCGGUAAUGCGUAGGUCCCGAGCGUUGUCCGGAUUUAUUGGGCAUAAAGCGAGCGCAGGCGGUUAGAUAAGUCUGAAGUUAAAGGCUGUGGCUUAACCAUAGUACGCUUUGGAAACUGUUUAACUUGAGUGCAAGAGGGGAGAGUGGAAUUCCAUGUGUAGCGGUGAAAUGCGUAGAUAUAUGGAGGAACACCGGUGGCGAAAGCGGCUCUCUGGCUUGUAACUGACGCUGAGGCUCGAAAGCGUGGGGAGCAAACCGGAUUAGAUACCCCUGUAGUCCCUGUCUCUUAUACA
rnacentral:rRNA from 1 species